UGUUAUUGUCGUGUGCAUUGUUGGUUGUGCUUUGUCCCUGUGUCAAGCAUCCCAGUAUUUCUUGUCUGAGUUUUGUUUUAUUGAUUCUUUGUUCCCUUGGACCUUGCCUGGAUUAUGGAUUUUUGAACUUUGCCUGGUCCCUGUCGGAUUUGUUUGCUGUGUUGGAAUUAUUCACUGGUUUUGACCACUGCCUGCCUGAAACCCCCGAUUGCAGCCACCGUGUCCUCGCUUAUAUCUGCAAAACUGAUACAGUAAAAGCGAAGGCUGAUGGAUCAGUUCCAGUAUGUUUAGGUUCUUCAGGGAGGAAGAGAUGUUGGGGGGUUUGCUCUCUGCUUGGGAUCUCAACCAGUUAACCAACCAGCUCCUUGCCAGUCUUAAACCGCCUGUCUCCACACUUUCUGCAGACCAUGCUGAGCCUGAAGCCUCGUCUCUGCUCUCACAGGAGCCCAGCCUGUUAAUCUCCUCUGUUUGCCACCAUUCUGACAUUGUCAACUGUCCCUCGCACCCAGACAUUCAGAUCUGGACUUGUUUUUGCUCAGAACUUUAAAUCAAUUUUUUUUUUUUUUUUUCUCACCUUCCAAAUCUUACUCCAUGUCCUGCUUUUGGGUCUCUAGAUUUGUGAACAGAAGCAACCUCAAAUACCCUCAUGGUCAAUAUUUUUCCAGAGCGUAUAACCAAUGAUUUUUGUGGUCCUGGAGACCCUGGGCCCUCUUUGCCACCUCAAACUUGAUAAUUGUUUUAUCAGCUUUUAAAACUAAAUUAAAUUUUAUGGGAAUUCUAAAACACGAUUUUGUUGACUGUUUCAGAAGUCUGCUACAGAAUGACAUUGUGUUUGGGGUCUAAGACAUUCCAGCUGUAAAACAUGGCUAAAUACAAUGGGGGGGGGGGGGUUAUUUUAUUUUUUUUAAAUGCAGCACUAUCAAGUCCAAAUCCUAAAGUGUAUUUGGAUUCACAUUAUUGGAAUUUUACAAGUUUGUUCACAAGCAACAUAACAUUAGUAACAUCACAAUGUAGGAUAACAUACAGUACAUUUCCUUGUCAGUGAAUGGCUUUAGCAAACAAAAUGAAUGUAUUUAACUAUUACACGCCAGGCAGGGGCAACGUGUUUGUGGUAUUUUAUUUUUAUUUUGUUCCUGCUUCUCUCUCAUCCCCCCUCACCUGUCUUCUCUCCAGGUGCUAACAACCUGAUUAGUUUCCACCUGUGCAGCCCAGUCUUGCUGUUCAUUGGUUUCCUCUGACUUCAGGCUGGCCUAUCAUCAUUUGAGGCACUCAAUAAAAGGAGCAUGCAGAGUUCACUCUUUUGUUCUCUGCUCUUACCCUGUCUGAACUC